CCGCCGCCGCUCUAGUGGCCGCCGCACAGUCGGAGAAGACGGCGUCCCUGGCCGAUCAGAUCGGCACCGCCGCCGCCCGUCUGACCACCCGCUCCCGGGAGGCCCGCGGAGAUGAGGCCGCCGUGGCCGCCGCCGCGACGGCGCUACGACAGCGGCUGAACCGGACCACCCGAUGGCAGCAGCGCGUCCGCUCGGAGGUAUCCACCACACGCGACCUGCUGGGGCAGGUCACACAGGCUUUGGGAGAGCUGGGCCGGUCUCACUCGUCGACCGACGCUCGUCUCGAGCCGACCUCAGACGCCCUGACCGAGCUGAGCGCGCAGCUGGCUGCCCUGCAGACUGACCAGCCGCAGCAGACCGCGCUCGACCGGCUGCAGCGGCAGCUGGACGCGGCCGAGGCGCAGCUGCGCCAGCUGCA